AAAGGGGCUUCGGCUCCGAGUAAAGUGGCGCACGGGUGAGUAACACGUGGGUAACCUGCCUCUAAGACCGGGACAACUUGUCGAAAGAUGAGCUAAUACCGGAUGAGACCACAGUUCCCGAGGGGACAGGGGUCAAAGGUAGCCUCUAUUUAUAAGCAAUCACUUAGAGAUGGGCCCGCGCACCAUUAGCUAGUUGGUGGGGUAAUGGCCCACCAAGGCAAAGAUGGUUAGCUGGUCUGAGAGGAUGAUCAGCCACACUGGAACUGAGAUACGGUCCAGACUCCUACGGGAGGCAGCAGUGGGGAAUAUUGCGCAAUGGGCGAAAGCCUGACGCAGCAACGCCGCGUGAGUGAUGAAGGCCCUCGGG
rnacentral:rRNA from 1 species